rnacentral:rRNA from 1 species
CUACGGGACGCAGCAGUAAGGAAUAUUGCGCAAUGGAGGCAACUCUGACGCAGCCAUGCCGCGUGCAGGAAGAAGGCCUUAUGGGUCGUAAACUGCUUUUAUUUAGGAAUAAACCCCCGGACGUGUUCGGGGCUGAAGGUACUAAACGAAUAAGCACCGGCUAACUCCGGGCCAGCAGCCGCGGUAAUACGGAGGGUGCAAGCGUUAUCCGGAUUUAUUGGGUUUAAAGGGUGCGCAGGCGGGCUAUUAAGUCAGUGGUGAAAUCCCGGGGCUCAACUCCGGAACUGCCAUUGAUACUGAUAGUCUUGAGUUUGGUUGAAGUGGGCGGAAUGUAGCAUGUAGCGGUGAAAUGCAUAGAUAUGCUACAGAACACCAAUCGCGAAGGCAGCUCACUAAGCCAAAACUGACGCUCAUGCACGAAAGCGUGGGGAUCAAACAGGAUUAGAUACCCUAGUAGUC